rnacentral:rRNA from 1 species
GACGAACGCUGGCGGCGCGCCUAACACAUGCAAGUCGAACGAGCGAGAGAGAGCUUGCUUUCUCAAGCGAGUGGCGAACGGGUGAGUAACGCGUGAGGAACCUGCCUCAAAGAGGGGGACAACAGUUGGAAACGACUGCUAAUACCGCAUAAGCCCACAGGUCGGCAUCGACCAGAGGGAAAAGGAGCAAUCCGCUUUGAGAUGGCCUCGCGUCCGAUUAGCUAGUUGGUGAGGUAACGGCCCACCAAGGCAACGAUCGGUAGCCGGACUGAGAGGUUGAACGGCCACAUUGGGACUGAGACACGGCCCAGACUCCUACGGGAGGCAGCAGUGGGGAAUAUUGCACAAUGGGGGAAACCCUGAUGCAGCGACGCCGCGUGGAGGAAGAAGGUCUUCGGAUUGUAAACUCCUGUUGUUGAGGAAGAUAAUGGCGGUACUCAACAAGGAAGUGACGGCUAACUACGUG